UGGGGAAUUUUGGACAAUGGGCGAAAGCCUGAUCCAGCAAUGCCGCGUGUGUGAAGAAGGCCUUCGGGUUGUAAAGCACUUUUGUCCGGAAAGAAAUCCUUGGCUCUAAUACAGUCGGGGGAUGACGGUGCCGGAAGAAUAAGCACCGGCUAACUACGUGCCAGCAGCCGCGGUAAUACGUAGGGUGCAAGCGUUAAUCGGAAUUACUGGGCGUAAAGCGUGCGCAGGCGGUUUGCUAAGACCGAUGUGAAAUCCCCGGGCUCAACCUGGGAACUGCAUUGGUGACUGGCAGGCUAGAGUAUGGCAGAGGGGGGUAGAAUUCCACGUGUAGCAGUGAAAUGCGUAGAGAUGUGGAGGAAUACCGAUGGNGAAGGCAGCCCCCUGGGCCAAUACUGACGCUCAUGCACGAAAGCGUGGGGAGCAAACAGGAUUAGAUACCCUGGUAGUCCACGCCCCUAAAACGAUNUCAACUAGUUGUUGGGGGAUUCAUUUUCCUUAGUAACGUAGCUAACGCGUGAAGUUGACCGCCUGGGGAGUACGGUCGCAAGAUUAAAACUCAAAAUGAAUUGACGGGGUCCUAGCUGUUUCCUG
rnacentral:rRNA from 1 species